UAUCUGCCAGAGCUACAGAGACUUCACGUACUCUUGAUACCGCCAGCUUGACAAUUUUACUCAUAGUUCCUUUCAUGUUUUUUGAUUUUAUUCUUACAUUUUCAAUGUUGUCGGCGCAUUCUAAAAGCAUCUCAGAGAGUGUAGUACAUGGCUGGAACUCAUAUUCGUUCAUGUCGGCCGUGUCAUUCUCAUCAGUUUCUGAGGCGUAUUCGGUUUCUGUAUCGUACUACCGACGAUGAAGGAGUCUUAAAAAUUUCAAAUUGUCCUGUCAACGGUGAGGCGUCUAACUGUGAACUCGAAGAUUGCGGAGGACUUCGCUGUAGAGUGCGACUUGGACGGUGUACACUCUCAUAACUCUGAGAUUGUAGAACAUUAUUUAAGUGUGCCUCAUCCUCAUACAUAGGGAGGAAGCCAUUAAUGGUGAACAAAUGACGCUUCGUGCACAAGGGAGCGGGCAGGACAGGAAGGGGUGCACCCGCACCAGCAUUGUUGCCUGGUACUCUCCGGAACUCCGGGGACCGCCUGCUUCCACUUGACCCUCCCGGACAUCGGACGGAGGGCACUCGCUCGUCAGCACGAUGAGGAUUCCGACAUCCUCAUUCGGUGUGCACUACCUGGCUAGGGCUCGAAAGGGUCAUCUCCUGACAUCAUACGACGGUAAAUGCCUCGGCAGCGUACGCACAUCAGCCCGAGACAAAAGCCAGAUGGGAACAACCUGACCCGACGCGGGCACUCCCAGCACCCCGCCGUAAGUGCCGGCCCAUACAUCAUUCACACAAGUUCAUUCAUACACCUAACUAUAGAUCACUUACUCAUCAUUCACUCUAAUCAUAAACCAU